UGUUGGCAAAUCCCUCCGUCGAUGCCUUCAUCUGCGGCAUCUGCGCGAAGUGCAGCCGUCCCUCUUGUAUCCGUUGCUCGGCCCAGGUCAUUUUGGCCGUCUCCUCUUCAGAGCGGUCCUUCCUGCCCUGGAGCCGGCCCAUGAUGGGCCCCUGGGGCCCCUGGGCCCAUGGCACGAGCAGUUGUUGAAAAUGGAGGAGAAUGUUAAAAUCAAUAGAGACAUUUAUGGAAAUUUAAACAAUUAAAUCCAUUUUACAGCCAGCUGGAGUGCUCGUCAACUUAAAGCUCAUUUUAAGUGACGAAAUCGUACUGGCGUAUAAUGUGGAUGGGGUCCAAGGAAAGAAAGCCCUCAGGAGCCACUCGGAGUUUUAUGGAGCUUUUCUAGAAUGUAUUCCGCCUGGAGACGAAGCACCGGAAAUGCUGAUGAGCAAAGCUAUGCAAAGGGUUAACAAAAAGAGUUUUAAAGCUAAAGUGCACCAAACCCUAAAAAAAUGAAUUAGAGACUGUGUAGGCUAGGCUAGAUUUUAAUAUAUAUUUUAGUUUUG